GAUGAACGCUGGCGGUAUGCUUAACACAUGCAAGUCGAACGGACUCUUCGGAGUUAGUGGCGGACGGGUGAGUAACGCGUGAGAAUCUGGCUUUGGGUUCGGGACAACCACUGGAAACGGUGGCUAAUACCGGAUGUGCCGAGAGGUAAAAGAGAAAUUGCCUGAAGAUGAGCUCGCGUCUGAUUAGCUAGUUGGUGAGGUAAAGGCUCACCAAGGCAGCGAUCAGUAGCUGGUCUGAGAGGAUGACCAGCCACACUGGGACUGAGACACGGCCCAGACUCCUACGGGGGGCAGCAGUGGGGAAUUUUCCGCAAUGGGCGAAAGCGUGACGGAGCAAUACCGCGUGAGGGAAGAAGGCUCUUGGGUUGUAAACCUCUUUUCUUAGGGAAGAACAAAAUGACGGUACCUAAGGAAUCAGCAUCGGCUAACUCCGUG
rnacentral:rRNA from 1 species